AAAUCACCUCCCCUCUCACAGCCUGGUGACAACCGGAACGGUGCGUGCUGGAGCGCUUUGUCCGGUACGCACUCACUACAUGUGUUGUUUGCUGCUUAGUUCCGUAAACUGUAUUCCCUAUAGGCCUCCACGCCUCUCCGAUGCUCCACCUACAAACCACACCACACCUCCCCAAUGCUCCAGCAACAAACCACAGCACCUCCCAGCAGUGCUUCACCUACAAACCACACCACAACUCCCAAAUGCUCCACCUACAAACACAUACCAUACGCAUCCACAAGCUUUAAAGCAUAUUUCAGCAUAUUUCAACACUGGCCCGGGAAUGCCUCGGGAUCCCCCCGUCAGAGCUGGUCAAUGUGGCCUGGGAAAGGGAAGUCUGGGGCCCCCUGCUUGAGCUGCUCCCCCCGCGACACGACCCCGGAUAAGCGGAUGAAGAUGAGAUGAGAUGAGAUGAUUUCAGCAUAUUUACAAUAAAAACACCUGAAAAAUAAAUAACAAGUUACUUCUUCAUGUGCCCUAACAUGUCUAUCCAUAAUCAACCAUAACUAAAAACUAAAAUAACGGUUAGUCACUAUUGGUUUCAUCUAACCAUACAUGUUCGCAACAGACCUCCUCUGAAUACAACGCAGGUAAUAAUAAUCCAUUGUUCCAAGUUGGUGUUGAACUGGAGUCACAUGCCUGACCUAUGACCUCUGCCCCUAUGAGUUCUCUUCCUGUCGCUGUUUUUCCAAGCUAGCAUAAAUGAAGCAGACAAUGAGACAUAAUGCCCUGUGACACGCAACCUCUUGGGCUCAUCGUCACAGAGCAGAAAUAGACUCACUAACAACAAUAAAACCACUAUAUUUUUGGCUGCUGUGUUGCUCCGUCAGCAUUUUGUGAUGUUCCGAGCUCCAGACGGCAUCUUGCCCCACGACGGAGUUGUUCGGACUGGUGCUGUCAGCAGAUGGUUCCAUACCCAUGAACAGAAAAGGAACUGGUACUGGUUUUUGUUAUCAAAGCUUUCCAAAAAGGUUGUGUGGUCGCCACUCUUUAGUCUUUACUUUAUUCUACACACCAUUUCGUCUGUUUGUGCGGAAUAAACAAAGAUGCACACCACACACAAAACACACACACACACACACACACACACACACACACACACACCUCCAUAACAAGUAUGACCCUUGAGGUCUGCAGUAGUGGUGCGUUUUAUUAUCCAUCUGUCUCGGAGGUCCGAGGACGUGGCCUAGCGACACGCAUGAACACGCCCCUUUUCCUCGGACAGCGAACUUGCUUGCUCGGUUGAACUCAGAGGAGACCGAGCAAGGAUUCCGAGACAGUAUUCAAGAUGGUCUCUGCAUAUGGCCUAUACUUAUUUUGGAGCGCCUGGUACUCUGCCAAUGCUACCGCGACAACAGCUUUCCGGGUGGCGUCCAAGUUUUUCUCCAAUGACUGACGAGCGAAACAUAAUAAUACGUGAGCAGCCUCGCACUCUACAGGAACACCAAUAAACUGCAACUGCCCUUCAAAUACUUGGAGGAGUUUAAGGUUACAAGAGCCAGAGAAGUGGUUCAGUACAGAGUCUCACGUGAUCUGAAGGGGGCUAAAGCAGGGAUCCAAGUGAGGACUGGAAGGAAGUGGAGGGCAGAGGUCAUAAUUGAGUUGACAUGCGGUGUGUGCACGUGCUUGUGUGCAUGUGCAUUUCCGUGAAUGUUUGUGCGUUGCUAGCGUAAAGACUCAUAGUGGUCAGGUCAUCUCGGCCAUGGCGGAGAAGGAAUUGGGGGAAAGAUACUUUGGCUUUGACUCUCUGAAGUCCAGAUUGAACCACAAAUUCAGAUUGAUGUGGAAGUGCCAGCUUUUGGCCGUGAUAUUAAAUAUUAUAUUAUAGAUGUCUAUACAUCACAAUAUUAUAUUGUUUAGAUAUAGAGCUCCAGGACUCCCUCCGAGUUCCCGGAGUGUUCUAGAACAUCUUAUGGAACACGGCCAAAAGCUGUGUGUGCCUCUGGAUGAUAUUAUGAAUAAUCGACUGCGUCUCUUGUACUUAAAUAUGAGGAGCAUAUCAAGAUUCCCACCAGAGACAAAAACACGCUUGACCACUGUUACACAGUUUUGAAGGACAGCUCUCGGACUCUAGGACCACGGUCUGCUUCAUCUCAUCCCAAUCUACAGGCAGAAACUAAAAGCUUCUAAACCAGUGGCAAAGACUUUAAAGAAAUGGACAAGGGAAUCCCAGGCUUGUUGCAGGCUUGCUUUGACUGCACCAACUGGAGCGUUUUUCAAGCUGCAGCUACAGACCUACGACCUCACGGACACUGUAACAUCUUACAUCCGUUUUUGCGAGGACCUCUGUGUGCAGACCAAUACCUUCUGCACAUACAACAACAGCAAAUCUUGGUUCACUCCUAAUCUUAGGAAGAUGCGUCAAGCCAUCGAGGUGGCCCACAUAAGUGGGGACCGGGACCUAUAUAAGCAGGCCAGGAACAAGUUGACAAAGUAAUCUACAGUGAGAAACAAAAAAAUUGUCUCUCCGCCAAUAACCCUGCAUCAGUUUGGAAAGGCCUGCAACAAAUUACUAACUACAAGAGACAAUCCCCCCACCCUGCAGAAAAUUCCAGUCUGGCAGACGACCUGAAUGACUUUUACUGCAGGUUUGAAAAGCACCCAUAAUCACACCCCUCACGCACAAAAGGUUUUCCCUCAUCACCCAAUCCCCUCCCCCCACCGGCGCUA
ensembl:lncRNA